UGACCUCGGAUCAGACGUGAUUACCCGCUGAAUUUAAGCAUAUUAAUUAAAGCACGAGGAAAGAAACUAACAAGGAUUCCCCUAGUAAGGCGAGUGAACGGGAAGAGCCCAACACCGAAUCCCUUGGCGCAAGUCAACGGGAAAUGUGGUGUUAAGGUAGCCCUUCGUGUCAGUCUAGGCGCGUCUCAAGUCCACCUGAUUGUGGCUCAAGCCCAGAGAGGGUGUAAGGCCGUAAGACGCUCCGACUUGAUUCCUGGGGUUUACCUACGAGUCGGCUUGUUUUGGGAAUGCAGGCCAAAGCGGGUGGUAAACUCAUCCAAGGCUAAAUAACUGGCACGAGUCCGAUAGCGGACAAGUACCGUGAGGGAAAGUUGAAAAGAACUUUGAAGAGAGAGUUCAAUAGUACGUGAAACCGCUUAGAGCAGGAACGGAUGGUGCUCAUACUGGCCUGAGGAAUUCAACUGUGACGGUGGCUGGACGAGCUGGCGUUCCGAUCUCUCUUUUGGGACGGGCGUCGGUUUGGCUAUCAGCUCGACAUGGUGCACUUUCCUUGGUGCCUCCGCCACGACCGACGACACUGGCUACCCGCGCUGGGUAAGGUGACAAACUGCUUUCGGCAAUUUGUGUUAUAGACCCCGGCGGUCGGACAUGGUUUUGGCCAGGACGUCGAGCUUGGCGGCGCCCGCUCCUUGUGGGCUCGCAUGUUUGGCUAGCUUGGCUGGCGGCCGAUGCUUGCACUGGACAACCAGUACUACAGGUGACGGUUGUGGUCUCUCUUAGUUGGCCUCUGCGAGUUUGGCGCCUAUAGUCUGUGGUGUACUUGUGGGGUAAGACUAUCCGACCGCCGUCUUGAAACACGGACAAGGAGUCCUAACAUGUGCGCGAGUCAUGGGGAUUUCUACGAAAUCCCAAAGGCGCAGUGAAAGUAAAGGCCUGCUUCUCGUAGGCUGAGUGUGGGAUCUCGUGCAUCGCGAAUUGGCGAGCGCCCCACCCGGCCCGUCCUAUCUGUCUCUGUCAGUGGGGCGGCGCAAGAGCGUACACGUUGGGACCGAAGAUGUGAAACUAUGCUUGCGCAGCUCGAAGUCAGUGGAAACACUGAUGGAGGGAGCGCAGCGUUUCUGACGUGCAAAUCGAUCGUCAAAACGUGAGUAUAGGGGCGAAAGACUAAUCGAACCAUCUAGUAGCUGGUUCCCUCCGAAGUUUCCCUCAGGAUAGCUGGCACUCGGGAAACAGUUUUAUCCGGUAAAGCGAAUGAUUAGAGGCAUUGGGGUCGAAACGACCUCGACCUAUUCUCAAACUUUAAAUGGUAAGAUGCUCGUCUCGCUUAAUUGGAGGCGGGCUUCUUCACCUCUCUAUUAAACGGAAUGUGAGUGCCCAGUGGGCCAUUUUUGGUAAGCAGAACUGGCGCUGUGGGAUGAACCAAACGCGCGGUUAAGGCGCCCCAAUGCGGAGCUCAAUGAGACACCAAAAAGUGUUGUCGGAUUACUGACAGCAGGACGGUGCCAUACGGAAGUCGGAAGCCCGCUAAGGAGUGUGUAACAACUCACCUGCCGAAUCAACCAGCCCUGAAAUGGAUGGCGCUGGAGCGUCGGGCCUAUACCGUUGCCGUUGGGGCGAAGCAGACAAAUAAUCUGUGUGGAUGUCCCAACGAGUAGGAGGGUCGCCGUGGUGAGCGCAGAAGUGCGGCGUGAGGGCCGGCUGGAGCCGCCACGGGCGCAGAUCUUGGUGUAGUUAGCAAUUACUCAAGUGAGAAACCUUGAGGACUGAAGUGGAGAAAAGGGUCCAUGUGAACAGCAGUUGAACAUGGGUCAGGCGGUCCUAAGCGAUCGGGUAACUCCGUAACUAAGACGAGGGUGACAACUAUGCACUUGAAUAAAUUACUGUUGACGUGUUAUAAGCCUCUCCGAGGCGAAAGGGAAAUCGUGUUAAUAUUCACGACCCUUAACCGUGGAGAUCGCUUCCUUUUCGGGGGGCAAGUGCGGUAACGCAAACGAACACAGAGACGUUCGGCUGGAAGCCCGGGAAGAGUUCUCUCUUUUCUUUGUAAGGAGGCGUACCCCCUGGAAUCGGCUUGUCCGGAGAUAGGGCGUGGCUUCUCGUAAAGCGCAGCGCGGUCUUGGUCGCUCAUCGUACGUGCCUCUAGUUUCGGCCCUUGGAAAGAUACUGUGGGAGACAUGUUGUGAUUUUCACGCGUAGGCACCGUACAUCCAUAUCCGCAGCAGGUCUCAAAGGUGAACAGCCUCUAGUCCUAGACAAUGUAGGGUAAGGAAGUCGGCAAAAUGGAAUUUUUUUUUUCCCCCCGUAACUUCGGCGAAAAGCGCAUUGGCUCUGAGGGCUGGUUCGGAUGGGCUGGCGUAAGGAAGCUGUUCCGGUUUUGGUGAGGUGACUGGGUGAGGCUUUCGCGGCUUUACUCGGACCAUAGCGAGACCAGGCAGUAGACGACGUCAGCUGUGCUUGUCGUGUUUCGGCGCGGGCAGCUUCGUCCGGCAACAAACAGCCAACUCAGAACUGGCACGGGGGGAACUAGGGGAAUCCGACUGUCUAAUAAUAAAAACAAAGCAUUGCGAAUGGCUGUUGCCUCGGUGUUGACGCAAUGUGAUUUCUGCCACAGUGCUUCUGAAUGUCAAAGUGAAGAAAUUUU
rfam:Macrostomum lignano unitig_40574, whole genome shotgun sequence.